rnacentral:rRNA from 1 species
UACGUAGGUCCCGAGCGUUGUCCGGAUUUAUUGGGUUUAAAGGGUGCGUAGGCGGAAUAUCAAGUCAGCGGUAAAAAUUCGGGGCUCAACCCCGUCGUGCCGUUGAAACUGAUGUUCUUGAGUGGGCGAGAAGUAUGCGGAAUGCGUGGUGUAGCGGUGAAAUGCAUAGAUAUCACGCAGAACUCCGAUUGCGAAGGCAGCGUACCGGCAUCCAACUGACGCUGAGGCACGAAAGCGUGGGGAUCAGACAGG